AACGAACGCUGGCGGCGUGCCUAACACAUGCAAGUCGAACGGAAUCAAGGGGCUUGCUCCUUGGUUUAGUGGCGCACGGGUGAGUAAAGCGUGGAUAAUCUGCCCUGGUGUCCGGGAUAACAUUUCGAAAGGGGUGCUAAUACCGGAUAAGACCACGAGGUCUUCGGAUCACGCCGGAAAAGGUGGCCUCUAUUCAUACGCUUCUUUAUCAGGAUGAGCUCGGGUACCAUUAGCUAGUUGGCGGGGUAACGGCCCACCACGGCGACGAUGGUUAGCUGGUCUGAGAGGAUGAUCAGCCACACUGUAACUGAGACACGGUCCAGACUCCUACAGGAGGCAGCAGUGGGGAAUUUUGCGCAAUGGGGGAAACCCUGACGCAGCAACGCCGCGUGAGUGAUGAAGGCCUUCGGGUCGUAAAGCUCUGUCAGAGGGAAAGAAGUGUAUUGUGGCUAAUACCCAUGAUGCUUGACGGUACCCUCGAAGGAAGCACCGGCUAACUCCGUGCCAGCCGCCGCCGUAA
rnacentral:rRNA from 1 species